UUUAUACAAUCAUUAAAAGAAGGACCAAACGAACCACUACAAAUACUAGGUGUGCCCAUAACUGAGGUGGCGCUACAGUACCGCUCGAACUCCGAUUCUCCACAUGACGAACUCCGAUUCUCCACAUGAGGAAUGCUGUGAUGCUGAUGCAGGCGAUGCAUCACCACCGUCCGGUUUGAUAGAACCGAAGGUGUCGUGGGUCCCUUCUCCAUUAUGAAUCAUCUUAUUGUUGUUGUUGUUGUUGUUGUUGUUGUUGUUGUUGGUAUAACCGUAAGGGUUUUGAGCUUUGAUGUUGAAGAGUUGAGAAAGAGAAAUGGAAGGAACGUGUGGGAUUGGAAUUGGUAUAAAAAGUGAGAGAGUGAUCGUAGCUGACCUGAUAAAAGAGCGACAAAACAGAGAGAGAGAGAGGAGGGAGUGAAUGAAUGAAUGGAGGGUGGAGUCGCUGAGAGAUUUGAGAGCAGAGGGACUUUCGGCUUUGUACAGAGAGAGAGAGAGAGGGAGGGAGAGGGAGACUUUGGAAGUGUUUAU
rnacentral:lncRNA from 1 species